GGCCCAUUGUGCCUCCCCAUGAUUGUAUAUAAGCAUAUACGCUGACCCUCAAAUCUCUCUCCACCUCUCUCUCUUCUGUGUUAUUUCUUUCAACACAAAUCGAUGGCUCGAGGACGUCGAUCGCCAGAUACUGUGCAGAAAUGUCACAAUAAACUUUUCAAGCUGUAUUGUGAGGUGACACGAGCUCGAGAUCGGCUUAAUACCACGGUGACAGAUAGGGAUGCUGCUUUGGAACGUUUAAGAUCUAUGGAUCUUUACCUCAAAUCUAACCAUGAGGUGGAUUGGGUUCCUCCUAAUUUUAGCUUUUUGAACGAGACAUAUAAGGUUUACAUCGAUCGUGAUGUUAGUAAGGUCUUCAUUGAGAUCUUCAAGUCUCGCCAUCCCACUUUGAAUGUAAUAGAAAAUGUUAGGUUUGUUUGAGUAUUAUCAUUCUCUAGUUGUUUGGUAAUUGAAAAUAUUAAACUAGGGAAAAUAUUAUGACUCUAGUUGUUUGGAAUUGAAGAUGUUAUUUUGUAGUUGUUUGGUAAUUGAAAAUAUUAAACUAGGGAAAAUAUUAUGACUCUA